rnacentral:rRNA from 1 species
AUUGAACGCUGGCGGCAGGCCUAACACAUGCAAGUCGAGCGGAUGACGGGAGCUUGCUCCUUGAUUCAGCGGCGGACGGGUGGGUAAUGCCUAGGAAUCUGCCUGGUAGUGGGGGACAACGUUUCGAAAGGAACGCUAAUACCGCAUACGUCCUACGGGAGAAAGCAGGGGACCUUCGGGCCUUGCGCUAUCAGAUGAGCCUAGGUCGGAUUAGCUUGUUGGUGAGGUAAUGGCUCACCAAGGCGACGAUCCGUAACUGGUCUGAGAGGAUGAUCAGUCACACUGGAACUGAGACACGGUCCAGACUCCUACGGGAGGCAGCAGUGGGGAAUAUUGGACAAUGGGCGAAAGCCUGAUCCAGCCAUGCCGCGUGUGUGAAGAAGGUCUUCGGAUUGUAAAGCACUUUAAGUUGGGAGGAAGGGUUGUAGAUUAAUACGCUGCAAUUUUGACGUUACCGACAGAAUAAGCACCGGCUAACUCUGUG